CCAGAGAACUUUCCAGAGAUGGAUUGGUGGCCUUCGGGAACUCUGAGACAGGUGCUGCAUGGCUGUCGUCAGCUCGUGUUGUGAAAUGUUGGGUUAAGUCCCGCAACGAGCGCAACCCUUAUCCUUUGUUGCCAGCGGUUAGGCCGGGAACUCAAAGGAGACUGCCAGUGAUAAACUGGAGGAAGGUGGGGAUGACGUCAAGUCAUCAUGGCCCUUACGAGUAGGGCUACACACGUGCUACAAUGGCGCAUACAAAGAGAAGCGACCUCGCGAGAGCAAGCGGACCUCAUAAAGUGCGUCGUAGUCCGGAUUGGAGUCUGCAACUCGACUCCAUGAAGUCGGAAUCGCUAGUAAUCGUGGAUCAGAAUGCCACGGUGAAUACGUUCCCGGGCCUUGUACACACCGCCCGUCACACCAUGGGAGUGGGUUGCAAAAGAAGUAGGUAGCUUAACCUUCGGGAGGGCGCUUACCACUUUGUGAUUCAUGACUAGGGUGAAGUCGUAACAAGGUAAGCGUAGUGCU
rnacentral:rRNA from 1 species